GGUUGAUCCUGCCAGUAGUGAUAUGCUUGUUUCAAAGAUUAAGCCAUGCAUGUCUAAGUAUAAGCGAACUUAUACAGUGAAACUGCGGAUGGCUCAUUAAAACAGUUUGAAUUUAUUUGAUGAAUGUAUGAGAAUACUACUUGGAUAACCGUAGUAAUUCUAGAGCUAAUACAUGCAACGACGCCCGACCGUUUCACUACGGAAGGGCUGUAUUUAUUGGAUACCAAAACCAUCCUUCCCUCGGGAAGUUUUGUUUGAUGAUUCACAAUAACUGAUCGGAUCGCCACUGUGGUGGCGACAGGUCAUCCAACAUUCUGCCCUAUCAGCUUUCGAUGGUUGUGUAGUGGACAACCAUGGCCAUAACGGGUAACGGAGAAUCAGGGUUCGAUUCCGGAGAAGGAGCUUGAGAAUUGGCUACUACAUCUAAGGAAGGCAGCAGGCGCGCAAAUUACCCAAUCCCGAUUCGGGGAGGUAGUGACAAAAAAUAACAAUACCGGGCCUUUUUGGGCUUGGUAAUUGGAAUGAGGGAGAGUUAAACGGACCAUCGAGUAUCCAUUGGAGGGCAAGUCUGGUGCCAGCAGCUGCGGUAAUACCAGCUCCAAUAGCGUAUAUUAAAGUUGUUGCAGUUAAAAGCUCGUAGUUGGACUUAUGUGCGCUGUCCGCGGGUGGCCUGCGCCCAAAAGGGCGUUUCGGUUCGGCCCCGGUGGCGCCUUGAAAUCUGCAGCUGGGGGGACGUUGGCCUUAACUGGUCGGCGACCGCACGCCGGCUGCUCGGUUACUGUGAGAAAAUUAGAGUGUUCAAGGCAGGCAUUGGGUGCAAUUGAAUACAUUAGCAUGGAAUAAUAAAAUAUGGCUCCUGCCGUAUUUUGUUGGUUUUGACUGGUGGGAGUAAUGAUUGAUAGGGACGGUUGGGGGUGCUAGUAUUGGGCGGCCAGAGGUGAAAUUCAUGGAUUCGCUCAAGACUAACUUAUGCGAAAGCAUUCACCAAGGACGUCCUCUUUAAUCAAGAACGAAAGUUGGGGGAUCGAAGACGAUCAGAUACCGUCGUAGUCUCAACCAUAAACUAUGUCGACUUGGGAUCGGCGGUAGUUUUUUCAUUAAGACACUGUCGGGACCACGGGAGAAAUCAAAGUGUCUGGACUCUGGGGGAAGUAUGGUCGCAAGGCUGAAACUUGAAGGAAUUGACGGAAGGGCACCACCAGGAGUGGAGCCUGCGGCUUG
rnacentral:rRNA from 1 species